rnacentral:rRNA from 3 species
UGGGGAAUAUUGGACAAUGGGCGCAAGCCUGAUCCAGCCAUACCGCGUGGGUGAAGAAGGCCUUCGGGUUGUAAAGCCCUUUUGUUGGGAAAGAAAAGCAGCCGGUUAAUACCCGGUUGUUCUGACGGUACCCAAAGAAUAAGCACCGGCUAACUUCGUGCCAGCAGCCGCGGUAAUACGAAGGGUGCAAGCGUUACUCGGAAUUACUGGGCGUAAAGCGUGCGUAGGUGGUUGUUUAAGUCUGUCGUGAAAGCCCUGGGCUCAACCUGGGAAUUGCGAUGGAAACUGGGCGACUAGAGUGUGGCAGAGGGUAGUGGAAUUCCUGGUGUAGCAGUGAAAUGCGUAGAGAUCAGGAGGAACAUCCGUGGCGAAGGCGACUGCCUGGGCCAACACUGACACUGAGGCACGAAAGCGUGGGGAGCAAACAGG